rnacentral:rRNA from 1 species
AUUGAACGCUGGCGGCAUGCCUUACACAUGCAAGUCGAACGGCAGCACGGGAGCAAUCCUGGUGGCGAGUGGCGAACGGGUGAGUAAUAUAUCGGAACGUGCCCAGUCGUGGGGGAUAACGCAGCGAAAGCUGUGCUAAUACCGCAUACGAUCUAUGGAUGAAAGCGGGGGAUCGCAAGACCUCGCGCGAUUGGAGCGGCCGAUAUCAGAUUAGCUAGCUGGUGGGGUAAAGGCCCACCAAGGCGACGAUCUGUAGCUGGUCUGAGAGGACGACCAGCCACACUGGAACUGAGACACGGUCCAGACUCCUACGGGAGGCAGAAGUGGGGAACUUUGGACAAUGGGCGCAAGCCUGAUCCAGCAAUGCCGCGUGCAGGAUGAAGGCCUUCGGGUUGUAAACUGCUUUUGUACGGGGCGAAACGGUCCUUUCUAAUACAGGGGGCUAAUGACGGUACCGUAAGAAUAAGCACCGGCUAACUACGUGCCAGCAGCCGCGGUAA